rnacentral:rRNA from 1 species
UCUGGCGGCCUUAGCGCAGUGGUCCCACCUGACCCCAUGCCGAACUCAGAAGUGAAACGCCGUAGCGCCGAUGGUAGUGUGGGG